rnacentral:lncRNA from 1 species
UGUAUUCGGGGUCUUGCACCUCUUUCUUUCUGUGAGGCGUUGUUCUCCACUGGCGCAGAAGUCACUGAACUGAACAGAAUUAUGUAUGGAGCCUUUGGAAAAGGCUUACUUUCUCCUCCUGAGAAAUAGGAUCGUUGCCCUGUGGUAGUUUCUGUGUUCUGCCUUGACUGCUGGUGGUAGUGAGGAGGCGAGUGCCGUGCCCUCAGUGAGGCUGGGCCCUUGAAACUGGCUAUGUGCAACUGAUGGGGGGAUGGUUCUCUUCUUCUUUGUGGUGAUGGAAAUUUCAUUAUCUGCUUCAGACACGGGCAGCCUCCCCAGACAUGCAUGAACUGUCAAGAUCUCCUCCUUGUGCUUCUCCGAGCAAGAAGCCAACGCACAGAAGCAGACAUGCUGACUCUGAAGAGGACGAUGGAGGGAGAAAGACACUGCAAGAGCAUACUUUUCCAGAUGAGUCCAUUGAGGCAAAACUGGAAAGGUACAAGCACUACUGUCGGGAGGAACGAAAGCUCAGAAGACAUCCAGAGAAAAAACCUGCAAAGAGCUCGUCAGAGUCUAGACAAAAACAAGCUAAGCUCCACCCGAAGCACCACUGAAGCCUGCGUGCCUAAGGUCAGCAUUCAUAAAUGUUAUUCUCAACCUCUCUGAAAGAAUAUCUGUGAGCAAGCUUACGCUUCUGAGCCUCAAGUUAGAAUCCCUUUUGUGGGUCCAAAACACACCGUCUUUAUGCUGCUAAGCAUCAGAAGAGUACACAACUGUAUGGGGGAGGGCUGAAGACCUCUGGUCAUUGGGGGGUGUGCAAAAUACAGAGUGCCCUUCUUCUUCUGCAAAGCCAUAAGGGAAAGAGUGAAGGGAAAGAAAGGGAGAAUAGACAAAAUGACCGUACAAAUGGUAAUGAGAGAACAGGCACCAGACAAAGACAUGCCACACCGAAGGCUGCGGUAGGGCCAGGUGGCAGCACGAACAUGUUUGCCUUUUCAAAGGCAGAUCCUUUUCAGCCUUUUCAAGUGAAUUCGGAAGCUGCAUUUUAGGAGUAGUGUUCCAAAGAAUGCCCAGUUUGAAUGCUUAGGGAGUAGGGACACUCGAGGAUGAAGAGGGCUGCAGAGGACUAAGGCUAACACUGCUAAGCAAGAGUCGUUUGCAGGUUAGCUCACAACGUUCCGUUUGUAGCUUCUGGAAUUUCCUUCACUAACUUUUCACAUACUGGUAAUUGGAGGUGAAAACAUGUGUUCUUGCCUUGUGCAUUUCCUUAUUUUGCAUUUCCCUAUUUUCACAGCUGAACAUUAUUACAGACCAGAUGAAGGUGGAGCAGAGGACGUCCCAGUCCAGAAAACAAGGCGGUUCUGUGCAGAUAACAGCCCGCCUUUAAUUCCAAGUUCUGUCGCCCACCACCUUGGCAUGUAAUAAACCAUGUCAUGUAGUGCGGGUCUUUGUCUUC